rnacentral:rRNA from 1 species
GAUGAACGCUAGCUACAGGCUUAACACAUGCAAGUCGAGGGGCAGCAUGGUCUUAGCUUGCUAAGGCCGAUGGCGACCGGCGCACGGGUGAGUAACACGUAUCCAACCUGCCGUCUACUCUUGGACAGCCUUCUGAAAGGAAGAUUAAUACAAGAUGGCAUCAUGAGUCCGCAUGUUCACAUGAUUAAAGGUAUUCCGGUAGACGAUGGGGAUGCGUUCCAUUAGAUAGUAGGCGGGGUAACGGCCCACCUAGUCUUCGAUGGAUAGGGGUUCUGAGAGGAAGGUCCCCCACAUUGGAACUGGGACACGGUCCAAACUCCUACGGGAGGCAGCAGUGAGGAAUAUUGGUCAAUGGGCGCAGGCCUGAACCAGCCAAGUAGCGUGAAGGAUGACUGCCCUAUGGGUUGUAAACUUCUUUUAUAAAGGAAUAAAGUCGGGUAUGUAUACCCGUUUGCAUGUACUUUAUGAAUAAGGAUCGGCUAACUCCGUG